rnacentral:rRNA from 1 species
UUGGCUGUCGAUACCAAAGUUGUCUCUUUUAGCUUCUAAGCUGAGCAGGGUCAGGCUUGGUUGGUACUUGAAUGGGAGACCUUCCAAGAAAACUCAAGGUGGUGAUCCAAC